GACGAACGCUGGCGGCGUGCCUAAUACAUGCAAGUCGAACGAAGCUUUUUUAACUGGUGCUUGCACCGACUUAAACAACUGAGUGGCGAACGGGUGAGUAACACGUGGGUAACCUGCCCCAAAGCGGGGGAUAACAUUUGGAAACAGAUGCUAAUACCGCAUAACCACAGAAACCACAUGGUUUCUGUGUCAAAGAUGGUUUCGGCUAUCACUUUGGGAUGGACCCGCGGCGUAUUAGCUAGUUGGUAAGGUAAUGGCUUACCAAGGCAAUGAUACGUAGGAGAACUGAGAGGUGUAUCGGACACAGUGGGACUGAGACACGGCCCAAACUCCUACGGGAGGCAGCAGUAGGGAAUCUUCCACAAUGGACGAAAGUCUGAUGGAGCAACGCCGCGUGAGUGAAGAAGGUUUUCGGAUCGUAAAACUCUGUUGUCAGAGAAGGACGUGUGCGAGAGUAACUGUUCGUGCAGUGACGGUAUCUGGCCAGAAAGCCACGGCUAACUACGUGCCAGCCGCCGCAGUAA
rnacentral:rRNA from 1 species